rnacentral:rRNA from 1 species
CCUACGGUAGGCAGCAGUGAGGAAUAUUGGUCAAUGGACGCAAGUCUGAACCAGCCAUGCCGCGUGCAGGAAGACGGCUCUAUGAGUUGUAAACUGCUUUUGUACGAGGGUAAACGCAGAUACGCGUAUCUGUCUGAAAGUAUCGUACGAAUAAGGAUCGGCUAACUCAGUGCCAGAAGCCGCGGUAAUACGGAGGAUUCAAGCGUUAUCCGGAUUUAUUGGGUUUAAAGGGUGAGUAGGCGGUCGGAUAAGUUAGAGGUGAAAUCCAGAGGCUCAACUUCGGAAUUGCCUCUGAUACGGUGCGGCUAGAGAGGAGUUGCGGUAGGCGGAAUGUAUGGUGUAGCGGUGAAAUGCUUAGAGAUCAUACAGAACACCGAUUGCGAAGGCAGCUUACCAAGCUACUUCUGACGUUGAGGCACGAAAGCGUGGGGAGCAAACAGGAUUAGAUACCCCGGUAGUC